rnacentral:rRNA from 1 species
CGGACGGGUGAGUAAUGUCUGGGAAACUGCCCGAUGGAGGGGGAUAACUACUGGAAACGGUAGCUAAUACCGCAUAACGUCGCAAGACCAAAGAGGGGGACCUUCGGGCCUCUUGCCAUCGGAUGUGCCCAGAUGGGAUUAGCUAGUAGGUGGGGUAACGGCUCACCUAGGCGACGAUCCCUAGCUGUCUGAGAGGAUGACCAGCCACACUGGAACUGAGACACGGUCCAG